rnacentral:rRNA from 1 species
AUUGAACGCUGGCGGCAUGCUUUACACAUGCAAGUCGAACGGUAACAGGCCGCAAGGUGCUGACGAGUGGCGAACGGGUGAGUAAUGCAUCGGAACGUGCCCGGUCGUGGGGGAUAACGCAGCGAAAGCUGCGCUAAUACCGCAUACGAUCUAUGGAUGAAAGCGGGGGACCGUAAGGCCUCGCGCGAUUGGAGCGGCCGAUGUCAGAUUAGGUAGUUGGUGGGGUAAAGGCUCACCAAGCCGACGAUCUGUAGCUGGUCUGAGAGGACGACCAGCCACACUGGGACUGAGACACGGCCCAGACUCCGACGGGAGGCAGCAGUGGGGAAUUUUGGACAAUGGGCGCAAGCCUGAUCCAGCAAUGCCGCGUGCAGGAAGAAGGCCUUCGGGUUGUAAACUGCUUUUGUACGGAACGAAACGGUCUGGGUUAAUACCCUGGGCUAAUGACGGUACCGUAAGAAUAAGCACCGGCUAACUACGUGCCAGCAGCCGCAGUAAUAC